rnacentral:rRNA from 1 species
GGAGUCUGGGCCGUGUCUCAGUCCCAAUGUGGCCGUUCAACCUCUCAGUCCGGCUACUGAUCGUCGCCUUGGUGGGCCGUUACCUCACCAACUAGCUAAUCAGACGCGAGCCCAUCUCUGAGUGAUAAAUCUUUGAUACAUCUGUCAUGCGGCAAAUGUAUGUCAUAGGGUAUUACCAUCCGUUUCCAGAAGCUAUCCCCCUCUCAGAGGCAGGUUGCUCACGUGUUACUCACCCGUCCGCCACUAAGAAUUUCUAGUAAACCAAAAAUUCUCCGUUCGACUUGCAUGUGUUAAGCGUGCCGCCAGCGUUCGUC